rnacentral:rRNA from 1 species
CCUACGGGAGGCAGCAGCAAGGAAUUUUCCGCAAUGGGCGCAAGCCUGACGGAGCAACGCCGCGUGCGGGAUGACGCCUUUCGGGGUGUAAACCGCUGUUCGUGGGGACGAAGCACUGACGGUACCCACGGAGGAAGGCCCGGCUAACUACGUGCCAGCAGCCGCGGUAAUACGUAGGGGCCGAGCGUUGUCCGGAGUUACUGGGCGUAAAGCGUGCGCAGGCGGUUGAUCGCGCCCGGCGUGAAAGCCCCCGGCUCAACCGGGGAGGGUCGUCGGGGACGGGUCAACUUGAGGACAGCAGGGGCUGGUGGAAUUCCCGGUGUAGUGGUGAAAUGCGUAGAGAUCGGGAGGAACACCCGUGGCGAAGGCGGCCAGCUGGGCUGGACCUGACGCUGAGGCACGAAGGCGUGGGGAGCGAACGGGAUUAGAUACCCCGGUAGUCCACGCAGUAAACGAUGCAGACUAGGCGUGGGGGGACUUGACCCCCUCCGUGCCGGAGCUAACGCGGGAAGUCUGCCGCCUGGGGAGUACGGCCGCAAGGCUAAAACUCAAAGGAAUUGACGGGGGCCCGCACAAGCGGCGGAGCGUGUUGUUUAAUUCGUCGCAACGCGAAGAACCUUAC